rnacentral:rRNA from 1 species
UACGUAGGGUGCGAGCGUUGUCCGGAAUUACUGGGCGUAAAGAGCUCGUAGGUGGUUUGUCGCGUUGUCCGUGAAAACUCACAGCUUAACUGUGGGCGUGCGGGCGAUACGGGCAGACUGGAGUACUGCAGGGGAGACUGGAAUUCCUGGUGUAGCGGUGGAAUGCGCAGAUACCAGGAGGAACACCGGUGGCGAAGGCGGGUCUCUGGGCAGUAACUGACGCUGAGGCGCGACAGCGUGGGGAGCAAACAGG